UCAACGACAUCGAAAAGAAGAGUAGCGAUUAAAUGUUUGAAGAGAGUCUCUGGCAGGUGGAAAGAGAUAGCAGUUAAUGGUGAAACACAUCUUGGAGUCGAUUUUCUGAAAUACAGUAGGAAAAUCCGGGAAGCCCGUUACAGCUGCGGUCAUUGUUUGAUGACCAGAUAAGGUUAGUUUCCGUGAGGGACUAGCAAAAAAAGGUGGAACCACGUAAUUUACGUCCUUUGG
rfam:Enterococcus hirae ATCC 9790, complete genome.